CUGUAGCAUAAGAGAUUCUAUAAGACAGCAUUCAUGUAUACAGAUGUGCAGAGUUCUCUACAAUGAAGCCAGUUAAGAGAAAGGAAAGGGGCCUACUCAUUGAACAUGAUGAGCACCAUAUCACUUGCUAUUCGCACUUGAUUGAAUGGUAAAUGUGGCGGACAAAAAAUAAGGAAGCACGGAAACCAAUGGAGCCAAGCAUGAGGAAGAAACCAUAACAAACGCAAGCCAUGUAGCCAAAGAAAAAUGAGGUUUGCAUGAAGCCGGACAUAUCCGAUCUUGCAAAGUAGUAAUACAAGCAAUAGCCAUAAAUGAACAAUCCAGUUGAUCCACCACAGAGGAAAGACCUGACAAAAACCAAAUACAUGAUAGUGAGUGUGUAGAAAGACGGAUCAGGCAAUCAGAUAUCCUUCUAAAACAAGACAAUUUGCAGAAAACGUGAGGCAAAUUCAUGCAAUGGGUGAUGAAAAGCAAGCUAGGAGACCAUUAUGUCUGGAAAGUUUGUAACAUGACACAAAUGAUGCCAGAUUGAUAUUAUGACUUGGAUAGUUCGAGCAAUUUUGAUAACAUCCAACAGUGAGAAAGCAUAAAAUAAGUAACACAAUCUGCUAAAAUAUCACUACAAGUUAGAAAAGAAAAACAAAGAUGAAUAACUUUGUAGACAAUGAUGUAAAAUUGAACCAAUAACCUUAGAGACAUUGAUAUUUUACAAGUGAACAUUAUAUUGAUCAGUAAAACAUACCUCCACCACCACUCAUGGUCUUCAGCAGCAAGUUGGAAAUAUGUCAAUGCCACUGUUAUAAAAGCAGUGACAAUCAAGAGAAUGAUGAAGACAAUGAACAAGAUGCUGUAUAUGGUGUAGAUCCUGUGACCCCAAACACUGGCAAAUAUGUAGUAAAGUUCGAUAUAGAUUGCACUGAAAGGUAAGAACCCAGCCAUGGCCAUCUGAGGAAGUGUUUUCCGAUACCAAGGCAACAAAGGAAUCUCUCUCGGAUAUUUAGUGGUGCGGCAAGGAGCCUGAAACUCAGCCUUGCUAUUCUUCCCAGCAAUCCCACCAAGUACCAGCAAUGGUGUUGUUACCAAAGCCCAAAUAAGAAAUAUCACCACUAUGGUUCCAAAAGGCAAUGCUGCAGUGGCACUAUAUGUGAUUGCAACAGUAUUAAGAAAGCUGAAUGUGAGGAGCAGAGGUCCGCAAAACAGACCUCCAGUUAACAACAAGUUCCUGACCUGCCACACCAAAAUUUCAGAACUGUUUGGCCUAGCAUGUCUCAAAGUUGAAUGGUAGUUUCUAGAGUAAGAAGUUUUGCGAUAAAAGAGGAUAUAGGAUCACAAAAAAUUACAACGAUGCCACUGCAAAAUGCUUACAUCAUUAUAAUAAUGACCAAUGAACAUCAAUAUCAUAGUUCUAAUGAAUGCUGGCCAUGCUAAUUUUCACUAAGCCGCAACCAGCAUAAAAUAGUCAAUUGCACUCUUAUCAAAGUCUACAUAGUUUCAUUUCAUGUAAACUUAUAUUCAACUGUAAUCUUGAAUGUUGAAAUCUAACUUAUUGUCUCCUUAAGAUCGCCUUUUCAAAUGUACUGCAAGCCUUCAGGCAGCAGUACACCAUCAAUUUUCAAGUACACUGUUUCCAUGCACUUUCUUCUUUCAAAAAGCUUACCUUUCACAUCCCAAUUGGUUCAGUUAUUAAGUGAGAAGAACAAUUCAGUCAUCAAGUGAUAAAAAAUUUCACAGAGUAGGUGGUUUUGACCCCCUUCUCCAUGCUUAAGCCAAUUUCCACUAAGCAUUUAUAAAAAAUAAUCAACCACAUUCUGAAAAACCAUUUUCCAUGCUUAAUUUCUCUCAAAACCAAACACAUUCCAAAUAAACAUUGAGAAUUCCAAUAUGCAUGUUACGGAAUUUGAAUCCGAAUACCCUGGGAGACACAGUAAUAACAAGUUUCAAGGGCAUGCCCAGCAAUGACAAUGAUGUGUGCAGAAGGCAAUGAGAAAGGAAUUCAUGAUCACUUACCCAGUUUGUUCCUUCCAGUUGGCAAAAGAAAGAGGCUGCAGUGUAGCCUGCAAUUCCGGCUGUGAGGGCAUAUAUGACAACCAGGGCGGUGAAAAGAGCUCCGCGAUUAUAAGGAUAAAAUACACCAACUAGAGCGAGUAAGAAAAUGAAAAUUGUGCUGGCAAAGUAUGUAUAUAUACAAAGUUAGCAGGUUGAUCAGCAACAUACAAUAAUUACAAAAAAGGUUUGAGACAGAAACCCCAUACGCACAGCUUUGAAGUUAAACUUACAGAGUAAACAGCUGGGUGCCAGAGCCAACUGCUGCCGCAAGUACAGACUUAUACUUCGGAUAUCUAAAUACAUCACCAUGGAUGUACUUCCACCCGGUCUCUUCUUGGUCUUCAGCUGACUCCUCAUCGUGAGCAUACCUAUUGUAAAUGGGAGCAUCACCAAAUAAAUAAACCAGAAAGCUUAAACAAUGUUAGUAGACAUGUUCUAACAACAUAAAUCAUUAACAUGUUCUUACUUGACAAAAUCAUUCUUCAGGACUCGCAUGAGAAUUGUUGCAAGAAAACCAGUCAAGAGGAGAACAGUCACACAUGAGUUAAUGAUUGAGAACCAAUGAAUUUCCAAGUGAUGAGGCAGUGAAGAAGAUUGUGAAUAUUUCUCCAUCCUUUUCUCAUAUGGAAUUUCUGUUUCCUUCCAUUUAACUGAAUACAUGAACUCCACAUUAACUUCCUUAUUUUCAGUCAGCUCCACAACAUUUUUCUGAUCAGAUAGUGCAGUUAUCUCAAUGACACGAUCCUUGUUGUAAAAGAUGGUGAAGUGAAGAUGCUUAAAGAGGUAAUAUUUGUAUUCGCUAGGGUCAUUCUUGCCUUCCUUUUCAACUUUCCCUAUGAAACCCCAAAUGGGCAAGUCAUCGUAGUACAUUUGGAAGUAGUAGUCCUUGGAAACUGCUUCUCGGAACUGAGCAACUUGCUCCUUUGUCAGCUUGUUUUUGCAAGCAAUUUCAGAGUCUUUGUCAUUUAAAAAGUCAAGUUUGUAUGGGGCAGUGACUAAACGAUCCCCGUUCAACAGUUCACCAAGGGCUUCCUUCUUGUCCUUUGUAGGACCUGUAAUAAAUAACAUCAGCAAACUUCCACAGUAAAACAUGGCAUUAAAGUAGGAAUAAUAUAAAUUGACGCAAACCUGAUGAACAGAAAGGAAGAUCGAAAUACCGGUAUGUUUCACUGACAGAAAGAACAAGAAAGAAACAAUAUCAGACAAUUAUGACUAAAAAAUACUUUAAAAAGUUCAUAGUUCAACGGUUAAAAUCUCAGUAUAAAAAACCAAAAAAUUGGGAUGAUAUGAGUACUUAUAAGUUUCCUAUCUAAUUCAUACCACCCAACUCACCACCAGCCAUGCCUUCUAAAUCAAAGCAACUACACAUGUAAUCUAGAGUGGACUAAGAAAAUAUAGUUAAAUUUUCCAGCAUAAUUUUGGGCAAGGAAAAGAGUUCUUUCGAUUGCUUAUAGGAUCUAAAAAUGAGAUCUAAUUUUCAGCAUUAACAAAGAAAUAAGCCCCUAAAUAAAAUUUUCCACCUCACAAGAAAAAAACAGAAAUACAAAUCACCUCCUACAUCUCUAGACAUUAUUCUGUUCUUUUACAAACAACCUUUCCUAGCUUGCAGAUUUCUCUAUUCAACAACUUGCAUUCCCGAAUCCCACUAAACUGUCUCCCCAACACAAAAUUAACCAGCUCCUUGUACAAACAUUAAGCUGUGUUAAAUUUCCAACUUAAUUAGUACCUAACCGACAUCAACAACAUUUUCAUGUUCAAGUCCAAGUUCCAAUCUUUGAUCUUCUUCUUUAGAAAAACAAACCCAGAUCCACUUUACCAUAAGCUCAGAUCCACAACAAUUAAAGAAACCAAUCCAAAAUUUCAUUUCUAAUCCAAAUCCCACAGUCCCCACCAUCCCAAAUCAUCAAAAAGUCACAAACUUGAAGACAACCCACAAAACCGACAUCCUUGAGCUAAUCAAAACUGCAAAAGACAGAGAAUUGGAUUACCUGGGAUUGUGAAAAGGUCCAACUUUGUUAACAUAAAGAGGGACAUCAUCACCUACUUUGUAACGAUUAGUAGAUGCAUCUGAUCUAACACGGGUCACAUUGCAUAGGAUCAAAAUAGAGACUACCAAACAAGGCACUAGUUUCAUCUCCAUUUUCGCUCUCUGUAACUCAUAAACAGAGCAUAGAGAGAUAGAGAGAGAGAGUUAUAAAGAUGGAUACUUUUCAGGCUGUGGCUCGAAGAAGACUUCAAGAUGCUAAAACGGUUAACCUUCGUGUCAAAAAGAGGCCUUUCUUUAAUUAACAAUAACAAGGCGAGUAAUUGACUUCUCAUUAAGGUCAUUUUUUUAAUUUAAAUUUUGGUUUUAAUGAUUUUUCUAUUCUUGAAAAUUCUCAACCUUGAAUUUUUUUUUUUCAAAAUAAUUAAGUAUUGGGCAUCCCAAAAAUAUCAUAUUUUUACUUUAAUGUUCAUCUCUUUAACUUAUUUGGAAAUUAAUCUUGGUAUUUUUGUAUUCAUUUAUUUCAGCACCACUUACAAAUUUAUAAUUCCAUUAUUGGUUCGGAUAUAAAAUAAUUGUAUUAAAAGACACCCUCAACAUGUAGUUUUUGUUUUUCAACUUUUUAGUUUUUUAGUUUUGAAAUGAUUGUGUAAGUCAUGUUGUAAAUCAACUUUUCGGAUGAUACAAGUUUAACCGGUAAAUAUUAAAACUAGUAAUCAAUCAGAAUCAAGUCUUGAAUCACGAGUUUUCUAGAUUAACUUAUUAAGCUAGAUCAAUAUCAAAACUAAUUUAAACUAAAACCCGAUUUAAGUUAGGUUUCAAAUCAUGAAUUUAUCAAGUUAAUUUAUUAGAUUGAGUUAGUGUUAAAACCGAUUUAUUUUAAAAAUUAACUCAAGUGAAGUUCUGAGCUAUAAAUUUAUUGAGUCAACAUCAAGCUUAAAUUAAAUCUAGCUCGAGUCAUGUUUCAAGUUAUAGAUUUGCUGGAUGAACUUGCUAUGGUGGAUUUAAUAACUGGUGGUACUUAAAUUAACUAAUUAUUAUUAUUAAGAAGAAGAAGCUGGACUUCAUUUGGAAUAGAUCCCAAUACAUGCAUAAACUAUUAGAAGAGUAGGAAUCAAGGAACCCUCCAAAUUAUGAAGGUGGGGGAAUGCUUAAAUGCCAAGGAUUAUAGCUUGACACUCAUGAAGCCCUGGAUAUCAAAAUUGCCAUGCCAUCAUCUACUCUGUGGUUAAUUCUGAGGUUUCUGCUGUCUUUUUUUGUGGUAAAUUGCUUUCACUUUGAUCCAACUCUCUUUCCCAUUACGUGGUUGUAAUAGUUAUUUUACCAUGCAGUUGAAGAAGCAUGGAGGUCAGGUCAAAUUCCUGAAAAGGAAAAGAAAACCACUUUGUGUGUUAAGAACGCUAAUGACCUAAUUAGCAGUUAUGUUAUGUGAUGAAGAGGGUGAUGUUAUGUGAGUUUCAACAUGUUUUUUGUUAAAAAAAUUUAAAAAAUAUAUUCUUCAAGUAAUUUUUUUCAAUGUUUUGAAUGAUUUUGAUUUACUGAUAUCAAAAAUAAAUUUUAAAAAUUAAAAAAUAUAUAUUAUUUUGAUAUUUUUCUAAAUAAAAAAUACUUUAAAAAAAAUCACUACUACUCUCAAAUACCCGUAAAGGCUUGCCCUAAUCUUUCCAUAUAAAUUAUAAUAUUUUCUUCCUUUUGCAAUGUAAUCAAUGUUUCAUAUUAUAAUUUAAAGUCAUUACAAAUUAUACCAUUAGAUUUAAAUAAAAUAAAAUAAAAUUUUAAAAUUCAAAUUCAACCAUGUAAUGGACAUUUCACUCAAAACAAAUAUUAAUUUGAUGAUUUUUAUUGAUAUUUUUUAUUGUUUUAACAUGCUAAUGUAAAAAGAAAUAUGAUAAAACAUCAUUUUAAUAUAAUUUCAUUUGAAAAAUACAUUGCACCACAUUAUUAAAUACACACCAAGUCAUCAUGUCCACAACUUAAACUACAUAGUUAUUAAAUUGAUCUUAGUACAACAAGUUGACUUGAUGAUUUAUCAAGUCAAAACUUUUUGAAUGGUUUUUUCUUAAAUUAUUUUGGAAGUUUACCUGGUUAAAUCUAGAUGAUAAGGUGAGUCAAACUAGAAUCUGACCAAGCUUAGAUAAAAUCUAGUUGGGUUAACUUCAAGGAUUUGUUUAUCCAAGAAGACACCAUUUUAGGAUAUUUUUUUUAAUUUUGUUCAAUUGACAUUAUUUGAGAUUUAAAAAAAUAAAUAAAUAAAAGGUUUUUUUAUUAGAUUAGAGUUAAUUUGUCCAUUUGCUACUUAACUCAUAAACCUGCAACCUGGAUCUUGAACCGGGAUCCCCAAGUGAUAGUUAGUCUUUGGCCGGCAUUGUUAUUGAAGAGAGGAUGAAUUCUAGAAUACUAGGUUAGACUGUUAGGUUUAAAUGCAACAACAGAAUCGAUCAAUUCAAAACGAAUCCAACAAAUUCAAAUCCAGCGAUUUAGCAAGCAUUGAUAUUUUAUUUGCAUCUGGUCUUGACUUGAUUUGUUACUGCUUACAUUGAAAUGGACAGGCUACCAACGCCAUCCCCUCCUGGACCAGAAUGUUGUCUGAGACAUAAAUAAAAGUUUGCUGUCAUGUCCACAUCUUAUUGCAAAUAUUUUGUUAAUAGACCAUGAUUUGCUGUUAAUGCAAGCACCAUAGAAAACUCACCAAGGUUAACCAGUUCAGUUCCAAAAAAUUAAGAGAUAGUAAAUAGAUAAUUUACAGCUUAGUUUAAUCCUCUCGUUUUUGUUCAAUCUAAAGAUUUUAAGGCAGUGCAAAAACAUAAUUACUUGCAUAUUUUUAAAAAUUACCGGUUAGGUUUCAUCGCCAUGCUCAAGUUUUCUAGUUUAACCCCCGAAAUAAAUGAAUGAUGGGAAAUAUAUCUUGCUGCUGUAAUAAAUUGUGGAAAUAAGAAUGUUCAAAGUGCUGCUACCAGGAACACAAAUUCUAAGGCUUCUUAAAGUUCUAGAAUACAUUCAAAACGAUGGCUUGUGCUCACAUUUAAGCACCACAGAUUCUUAUAACAGCAUUCUAAGGUCCUAUAUGUUCCUCUCCUAUCAAAAAAAGGUUAUUACAGAAGUCCUCCAUUUGAUGUGCGGUCAUCCUUCAAAGUAGUGGGAUAAAGGCUCCUGCAAUCCCAGAAGACAUUUUCCCAGCCAACUGUUGCUUCUCCUGUAACAUAAUGCGAAACGAUAGAAGACUACCUUCAUCAAUACAAAUGAGCAGAGUUUCCUUCAAUUAAGCCUGCUAAGAGAAAGUAAGGGAUCCUACUCACUGAACACAACGAAAACCAUAUGACUUCCUACUCGCACUUGAUUGAGUGGUAAAUAUGGCGGACAAAGAACAAGGAAGCACGGAAACCAAUGCUUCCAAGCAUGAGGAAGAAACCAUAACAAACGCAGGCCAUGUAGCCAAAGAAAAAUGAGGUUUGCAUGAAGCCGGACAUAUCUGAUCUUGCAAAGUAGUAAUACAAGCAAUAGCCAUAAAUGAACAAGCCAGUUGAUCCACCACAGAGGAAAGACCUACAAAACACCAAAUAUAUAAAAGUGAGUGUCUAGAAAAAUAUAUAUCAGGCAAUCGUAUCCUUUUAAAACAUGGCAUUUUGCAGAAAACACAGCUACAAGAAAAGGAUAAAAGAAGCAAACUAGGAGAGGACUAAAUCAAUGCCAAAUUACAUUAUGACUUGGAUAUUCCAGCAAUUUAGAUAAAGAUCUUAAGAGUCAGAAAACAUUGAGAAAAAAAGGCAAAAUUUAACUCAAAGUUAGAAAAGAACAACAUUAAAGAACUCUUUUUUUUCCUGUGAGUGAACCUUGGAUAUUUUAUUGUGCUUAUAAUAAUGGAAAAGCAAAUCAGAAGUAGUAACAGUUUAUACCCGAACUUCAUAUAAUCUAACAGUAAAACAUACCUCCACCACCACUCAUGGUCUUCAGCAGCAAGUUGGAAAUAAGUCAAUGCCAC
rnacentral:lncRNA from 1 species